CAUGNGGGGCCNAACAUGCAGUCGAACGCGAAAGCCUCCUUCGGGGGGCAAGUAGAGUGGCGCACGGGUGAGUAACACGUAGGUAAUCUACCUUUGGAUUGGGAAUAACCACCGGAAACGGUGGCUAAUACCGAAUAAUGCAGCGGCACCUAAUGGUGACAGUUGUUAAAGCGGGGGAUCGCAAGACCUCGCGUCUAAAGAGGAGCCUGCGGCGGAUUAGCUAGUUGGUAAGGUAACGGCUUACCAAGGCGAUGAUCCGUAGCCGGCCUGAGAGGGCGGUCGGCCACACUGACACUGACAUACGGGUCAGACUCCUACGGGAGGCAGCAGUCGGGAAUUUUGGGCAAUGGGCGAAAGCCUGACCCAGCAACGCCGCGUGAAGGAUGAAAUCCUUCGGGAUGUAAACUUCGCAAGAACGGGAAGAAUAAGUAAGAGUUAAUAUCUCUUACGAUGACGGUACUGUUUGUAAGCUCCGGCUAACUCCGUGCCAGCAGCCGCGGUAAUACGGGGGGAGCAAGCGUUGUUCGGAUUUACUGGGCGUAAAGGGCGCGUAGGCGGCCACCGCAAGUCGACUGUGAAAUCUCCGGGCUUAACCCGGAAAGGUCAGCCGAUACUGCGGGGCUAGAGUGCAGAAGGGGCAACUGGAAUUCUCGGUGUAGCGGUGAAAUGCGUAGAUAUCGAGAGGAACACCUGCGGCGAAGGCGGGUUGCUGGGCUGACACUGACGCUGAGGCGCGAAAGCUAGGGGAGCGAACGGGAUUAGAUACCCCGGUAGUCCUAGCCUUAAACGAUGAAUGCUUGGUGUCUGGGGUUAUAUAGUCCCCGGGUGCCGUCGCUAACGCUUUAAGCAUUCCGCCUGGGGAGUACGGUCGCAAGACUGAAACUCAAAGGAAUUGACGGGGACCCGCACAAGCGGUGGA
rnacentral:rRNA from 1 species